AGACGAUCCUCGAAGCUGAGCAAAGGCCGACGGCCUACGCACCCCCAAUAUCUCAGCCCCCACCACCACCUCCAACCCCUUCUCAUGCGCAGACGGAUGAACAACAUCCGACUGCCGCUUCAAUAUCUCCGCCCACACCUCCUCCUCCUCCUCCUCC